rnacentral:rRNA from 1 species
GACGAACGCUGGCGGCGUGCUUAACACAUGCAAGUCGAACGAAGUGGCGAACGGGUGAGUAACGCGUACUCAACCUGCCCUUCAGAGGGGGACAACAGUUGGAAACGACUGCUAAUACCGCAUACUGAAGGAGGGGAUUGCGUCGGAUUCGCUAGUUGGAGGGGUAACGGCCACCCAAGGCGAUGAUCAGUAGCUGGUCUGAGAGGAUGAAGGGCCACAUUGGAACUGGACCACGGCCCAGACUCCUAGGGGAGGCAGCAGGGGGGAAGUUUCCGAAAUGGAGGAAAGUCUGACGGAGCAACGCGGCGUGAGGGAUGACGGCCUUCGGGUUGUAAAGCUCUGUUAAUCGGGACGCGGUACCGGAAUAGAAAGCCACGGCUAACUACGUGCCAGCAGCCGCGGUAAUUC